GUAGCUCAGUGGUAAUGCAUCUACUUCUUGUGCAGAAGGUUCCAGGUUCAAUCCCCAGCUUCCCUGGUCUCU